rfam:Gossypium hirsutum cultivar TM-1 chromosome 16, whole genome shotgun sequence
UGUUAAAAAUUACAUCAAUUUGUACCAUAAAAAACUGAUGUAGUUGAUGGAAUAACCAAACAGUGACAAAUAAUGUGUCAUUUGCACCUCUUGUUGAUAUACAGGGCCCAAUAUUUAACAAUAGAAAUGAAAGAAUUUUUAAUA